CGAAAGCGUGGGUAGCAAACAGGAUUAGAUACCCUGGUAGUCCACGCUGUAAACGAUGAGUACUAGGUGUCGGGGGUUACCCCCCUCGGUGCCGCAGCUAACGCAUUAAGUACUCCGCCUGGGGAGUACGCACGCAAGUGUGAAACUCAAAGGAAUUGACGGGGACCCGCACAAGUAGCGGAGCAUGUGGUUUAAUUCGAAGCAACGCGAAGAACCUUACCUAAGCUUGACAUCCCUCGGACAGGUGUUUAAUCACACCCUUCCUUCGGGACUGAGGUGACAGGUGGUGCAUGGUUGUCGUCAGCUCGUGUCGUGAGAUGUUGGGUUAAGUCCCGCAACGAGCGCAACCCUUGUCUUUAGUUGCCAGCAUUCAGUUGGGCACUCUAGAGAGACUGCCAGGGAUAACCUGGAGGAAGGUGGGGAUGACGUCAAAUCAUCAUGCCCCUUAUGCUUAGGGCUACACACGUGCUACAAUGGGUGGUACAGAGGGUUGCCAAACCGUGAGGUGGAGCCAAUCCCUUAAAGCCAUUCUCAGUUCGGAUUGUAGGCUGAAACUCGCCUACAUGAAGCUGGAGUUACUAGUAAUCGCAGAUCAGAAUGCUGCGGUGAAUGCGUUCCCGGGUCUUGUACACACCGCCCGUCACACCAUGGAAGUUGGGGGUGCCCAAAGUCGGUUAAUUAAUCUAUCGCCUAAGGCAAAACCAAUGACUGGGGUGAAGUCGUAACAAGGUAGCCGUAUCGGAAGGUGCGGCUG
rnacentral:rRNA from 1 species